rnacentral:rRNA from 1 species
UGCAGUCGAGCGAUGGAUUAAGAGCUUGCUCUUAUGAAGUUAGCGGCGGACGGGUNNNUAACACGUGGGUAACCUGCCCAUAAGACUGGGAUAACUCCGGGAAACCGGGGCUAAUACCGGAUAACAUUUUGAACCGCAUGGUUCGAAAUUGAAAGGCGGCUUCGGCUGUCACUUAUGGAUGGACCCGCGUCGCAUUAGCUAGUUGGUGAGGUAACGGCUCACCAAGGCAACGAUGCGUAGCCGACCUGAGAGGGUGAUCGGCCACACUGGGACUGAGACACGGCCCAGACUCCUACGGGAGGCAGCAGUAGGGAAUCUUCCGCAAUGGACGAAAGUCUGACGGAGCAACGCCGCGUGAGUGAUGAAGGCUUUCGGGUCGUAAAACUCUGUUGUUAGGGAAGAACAAGUGCUAGUUGAAUAAGCUGGCACCUUGACGGUACCUAACCAGAAAGCCACGGCUAACUACGUGCCAGCAGCCGCGGUAAUACGUAGGUGGCAAGCGUUAUCCGGAAUUAUUGGGCGUAAAGCGCGCGCAGGUGGUUUCUUAAGUCUGAUGUGAAAGCCCACGGCUCAACCGUGGAGGGUCAUUGGAAACUGGGAGACUUGAGUGCAGAAGAGGAAAGUGGAAUUCCAUGUGUAUCGGUGAAAAUGCGUAGAGAUAUGGAGGAACACCAGUGGCGAAGGCGACUUUUCUGGUCAGUAAGUGGACAAUGAGG